rnacentral:rRNA from 1 species
CUCGACUCUCCCACCCAAUGUGUACCUACCUCUGUUGCUUUGGCGGGCCGCGGUCCUCCGCACCGGCGCCCUUCGGGGGGCUGGCCAGCGCCCGCCAGAGGACCAUAAAACUCCAGUCAGUGAACUUCGCAGUCUGAAAAACAAGUUAAUAAACUAAAACUUUCAACAACGGAUCUCUUGGUUCUGGCAUCGAUGAAGAACGCAGCGAAAUGCGAUAAGUAAUGUGAAUUGCAGAAUUCAGUGAAUCAUCGAAUCUUUGAACGCACAUUGCGCCCCUUGGUAUUCCGAGGGGCAUGCCUGUUCGAGCGUCAUUUCAACCCUCAAGCUCUGCUUGGUGUUGGGCCCCGUCCUCCACGGACGCGCCUUAAAGACCUCGGCGGUGGCGUCUUGCCUCAAGCGUAGUAGAAAACACCUCGCUUUGGAGCGCACGGCGUCGCCCGCCGGACGAACCUUUGAAUUAUUUCUCAAGGUUGACCUCGGAUCAGGUAGGGAUACCCGCUGAACUUAAGCAUAUCAAUAAGCGGAGGAA